rnacentral:rRNA from 1 species
AAGUCGUAACAAGGUUUCCGUAGGUGAACCUGCGGAAGGAUCAUUAGUGAAUUUUAGGGCGCUCUCACUUAACUGAGAGGCCUGACCUCCACUCUCCAACUCUGUGCACUAUUGGAAAUCGAAGGAAGAAGGGCUUGGUCGAAAGACUAGCUUUUUGGAUCUCUUUCUCUAUCACUUUUUAAACAUGAGUCAAAGAAUGUAAAGAAACCAUAACAAAAAAAACUUUCAACAACGGAUCUCUUGGCUCUCGCAUCGAUGAAGAACGCAGCGAAAUGUGAUAAGUAAUGUGAAUUGCAGAAUUCAGUGAAUCAUCGAAUCUUUGAACGCACCUUGCGCUCUCUGGUAUUCCGGAGAGCAUGCCUGUUUGAGUGUCAUGAACUCUUCAACCCACCGGUUCCUUGUUGAAUCGAGUUGGUGUUUGGAUUUUGAGCGUUUUGCAAUUUAACUAUUGCUCGUUCGUAAUACAUUAGCAUCUCAAUUUCGAAACUCGGAUUGACUCAGCGUAAUAGACUAUUCGUUGAGGACACCUUAGCAAUAGGGUGGCCGAAUUAGAUAAAAGUGGAAGCUUCCAAUCCCUCUAGUCAAAUUUUAGAUUAGACCUCAGAUCAGGCAGGAUUACCCGCUGAACUUAAGCAUAUCAAUAAGCGGAGGAAAAGAAACUAACAAGGAUUCCCCUAGUAACGGCGAGUGAAGCGGGAAGAGCUCAAAUUUGUAAUCUGGUACCUUCGGUGCCCGAGUUGUAAUCUCGAGAAGUGUUUUCCGCGCCGGNCCGCAUACAAGUCUGUUGGAAUACAGCGUCAUAGUGGUGAGAACCCCGUAACUGAUGCGGAUGCCCGGUGCUCUGUGAUACACUUUCGAAGAGUCGAGUUGUUUGGGAAUGCAGCUCAAAUUGGGUGGUAAAUUCCAUCUAAAGCUAAAUAUUGGCGAGAGACCGAUAGCGAACAAGUACCGUGAGGGAAAGAUGAAAAGCCCUUUGGAAAGAGAGUUAAAAGUACGUGAAAUUGUUGGAAGGGAAACGCUUGAAGUCAGACUUGCUAUUUGGAGUUCAGCCGCAAGGUGUAUUCUUCAAUUUGCAGGCCAGCAUCAGUUUUUGGGGGUGGAAAAGGGUUAGGAGAAGAUAGCAGUCUCGGCUGUGUUAUAGCUCCUGGCUGGAUUCAUCCUUGGGGACUGAGGAACGCAGCGCGCCUUUUAGGCAUUUCCCUCGGGUUAUUCGCGCUUAGGAUGCUGGUGGAGUGGCUUUAAACGACC